rnacentral:misc_RNA from 1 species
UUUCCGUAGGUGAACCUGCGGAAGGAUCAUUCAUAAUAAAGUAUUUUAUGGCACUUUUUAAAAAUCCAUAUCCACCUUGUGUGCAAUGUUAGAUCUCGUCAAUCUUGGCGAGAUUUUUAUACAUCAACUCAUUCUUUAACUAAUUUGUCUGAAAAAUAUUAUGGAUACUUAAUUCAAAAUACAACUUUCAACAACGGAUCUCUUGGCUCUC